AUGGAAGCAUGUGGUGAUCGGCUCGCCGCCGGUGAGCCUGCACCAAGGUUGCAUCAGCAGCCUGAAACACGGUCCCCAGGUGUUGCCUGCGGCGACGCGCGCGCGGUCGGCAGCGUCACGAAAGCGAAGGAGGAACUCAUCGGGGCACCGGUGAUGGACGGAAAACGCAUCCACGGGAAGCUGCAAUCUGUGCAGAGGAAGGACUGCACGUCGGAGGCGGAGAUGCCUAAGCAAGCGCCGGCCAUGAUCGUGAGUAGGGGCGCUGCUCGAGGGCCAGCUCCGCGGCAGCGAUGGCCGGAGUCCGCGGCAGGAAGCAGACCACCACAACCAGCCUGA
rnacentral:rRNA from 1 species